rnacentral:lncRNA from 1 species
AAGACAUGCUGGGUGCAUUUUUUGGACCUUACCACAUCUUGUUUGAGAGAAGUGGGACCAAUGCUGAUGAAACUCUUUCCCAUGGUGUGUUCUAUAUUCAUUGGAUGGGCAUCGCCUACGGCUGGAGCAGGGCUGAGCUCUGUACUGGUGUCUCUUAAAACACACCAGACAGCAACAGCUGAGAUACCUACUACCUGGAUCUGCUUGAUUAGAUCAUACGGUCAUAUUUGAUUACUUAGAAUGGGCCAGGAGGCUUUCUAAGCUUACUCCUGAUGCAGUUAAAACUCAAAGGUUUCUGGAAGCCAAUGAAAAUCCUCACCUCUGACUGAAAUGGAAUUUCAAGGGAAAGAAAAUACAACGUAUUUUAUGAGGUCAGGUCUCCCAUAAGGUGUUAAAGGCAUUGUUCAGAGGUGCCACCUAGCAACUUCUCCCAGAACAAAAGAUUAGCCAUAGGUACUUCUUGUGUCUGGUUUUUGAGUUUAAAAUAGGAACAGGCAAAG